UAUUCAUAUGCCUUGGCUGCCUAAAAAUCAAUGGCAGCCCGUCCUUUAUAACUUGUGCCUGUCCAGGUUAUAAAGGGCGUGGAAAAAGACAGGCUCACGCUAUCUCUCUUCUCGGAGGAGAUGGCGUGAACAAAAAUUCCGAGAUAGUCCCGCUAUCUUUAGGUGCCUGUCCUUAAAGGCGGGGCGAAAUUUUAAAGACAGGCUAAGCGUGUAGAUGUUUUAAGUGUCUGGCUUCCGGACCCGGGUUCGACUCCCGG
rnacentral:misc_RNA from 1 species